rnacentral:lncRNA from 1 species
AUCUUGAAAACGGAAAAUAAAAACAGCAGACCUAUGAAGGUCGAAGGGGAAGAAAAGCUGUAUCGAUUGUUGAGAUCUGGCGACUUGUUUAAAUUUCAUCAGCCUCACUUCUAUGAACUCUCAGGGUCCUCGUAAGGAUUUCCAUUUUAUGUUCUUGUCUUCUCAUCAGUUUGAGUUGUGUCUUUAACAUUGGAGAGAAAAACAACUUGCAAGAUUUUCUUUCAGUAUGAACCAUUCUGAGGUCCUUCAAUUCUUUAGCUGAUUACCAACUCCUACCACUGUUAACCCUCAUCCAGGAAAAAGCUUAUGUCUUUAACAUUCUGAGUGGGCUUCAGCAUCCUUGCAUAUGUUCAAUUCUUAAAAACCUGUUGAAAUAAAAGAUCAGGAGACAUAGGAAGGAUGCCAGAAGAGAGCGUGGCCUCAUGUGUACCAGCUCUCUGCUCUCCUUUGCCUUGGGACGUUCCAUCCCUGGAAGUUUCCCUGCCCACAUCUUUGUAGAGAGUCCAUUCUCCAAGCUUCAGUGUGUCAUCUGUGAGGACUGUGACCAACCUGGUACAUCGCCUCAGGGCAUUCAUUUCAGGCUCCUUCUAAAUGGUCAAGUUUUCAAGAUUGUUUUGGCUCUAGCAAAACAAGUUGGAACAUUCACAUCAUCCAUCUUCUGUCAGCCUAACAAGCAUAGCAAGAAGAUAUAGCCCCACAACCACUUUAUGCACAAAGUUAGAAGCAUAAAAUCUCAUGGAAAGAGACCGAUUAUCCACAGAAGAGGUUGUCUUGCCAUUUCUCUCAUGUUAGAGGUAAACCUCAGGUUCUCCUCCUGCCUUUUGCUAAGUAUAUGUCUUGAUGACAAGCCUUCUGCUGAUGAGCUGUGUUUCUGGACCGAUC